AUACUUACCUGGCGGGGGAGAUACCAUGAUCGAGUAGGUGGUUUUCCCAGGGCGAGGCUCAUCCAUUGCACCUCGGAUGUGCUGACCCCUGCGAUUUCCCCACAUGUGGGAAACUCGACUGCAUAAUUUGUGGUAGUGGGGGACUGCGUUCGCUCUUUCCCCUA
ensembl:snRNA U1 U1 spliceosomal RNA